CGGGGGAGGUCGGAUCCUGGGCUGUGUCCCGGCGCCCUGUGCUCCGGAGCCUGCGCUGUUGGAUUCGCGCUCCCGGGCCGCGCAGCCCCCU
rnacentral:pre_miRNA from 1 species